UCAUACACAGCUACACCAGCCUGGUCACACACUGCUGUUGGAUGGCAUCCCAUUCUUCAACCAGCAUUUGUCACAGAGUCAUCCAAUGUGGUUGUGUUGGUCACUGGCACAAACAGGACACCCAAGCUGAUCUAACAAGUGUUCAAUGGGGUUAAGGUCAGGACUGCUGGUAGGACAUUCUAUCCUCUCCACUCCCAAAUUCUGGAGGAAGUCUCUGAAAUGUCACCGAGUUCGGCUCCAGACUGUGAAGUGAGCAAGAUGCUGCCCCACACCAUCACACUGCCUCCACUGAAAGAUUUACUCUAGCACUGCAGCAAUCAGCACAGCACUUUCUGCACCUUCUCCAACUUUGACCCUAUGAUCCAACUGCCGUAGGUAGAAUCUGGACUCAUCGCUGAACAUAACAAGCUUCCACAUGUUCAGGUUCCAGUGCACGUGUUGCCAACACCAGCACAAACAGGCCUGAUAGUGAAGGGCAGUUAUGAUAGGCCUCCUGGCAGCCCGGUGAGACCAGAGAUUGGCUGCAUGCAGUCUUUUCCAGAUUGUCUGUGCAGCGAGCCUUCAGCCAUAUGGUCUUGCAAACUUUGACUGUAAACCUGUGGAAGACAGCCUACUGUUCCUCAGUGAUGUCAGGGAUGAAAAUCAAGAUCGCCGACAACUUUUUGUGUUUAUGAUGUGGCCUGGUCAACAGCAUCGCCUUUCUAGUGGUGUAGGAUAUGAAGUUUGUCAUCAAUG